rnacentral:rRNA from 1 species
GACGUGAGGGCGCGAGCGUUGUCCGGAUUUAUUGGGCGUAAAGAGCUCGUAGGCGGCUUGUCGCGUCGUCUGUGAAAUCCCGCGGCUCAACUGCGGGUCUGCAGUCGAUACGGGCAGGCUAGAGUUCGGUAGGGGAGACUGGAAUUCCUGGAUGUAGCGGUGAAAUGCGCAGAUAUCAGGAGGAACACCGGUGGCGAAGGCGGGUCUCUGGGGCCGAUACUGACGCUGAGGAGCGAAAGCGUGGGGAGCGAACAGG